rnacentral:rRNA from 1 species
AUUCCAGUCGAUCCCGCUGGAGGUUACUGCUAUUGGGAUCCAUUAAGACAUGCAAGUCAGAGUAGCAAUACUCGGCGUACGGCUCAGUAACACGUAGUCAACCUGCCCUUAGGUAGAGGAUAACCUCGGGAAACUAAGGAUAAUACUCUAUAAAAAACAGGAUCUGGAACGCCCUGUUUUCCAAAGAUUUAUCGCCUAAGGAUGGGACUGCGGCUGAUCAGGCUGUUGGUGGUGUAACGGACCACCAAACCUAUGAUCAGUACGGGUCAUGAGAGUGAUAGCCCGGAGAAGGAGACUGAGACAAGGCUCCUAGCCCUACGGGGUGCAGCAGUUAAGAAUCCUUUACACUGCGCGAAAGCGUGAUAGGGGGAUCCCAAGUGAUAUAGUUUUACUAUAUCUGUGGCCAAGUGUAAAUUACUUGGCAAGAAAGGGGUGGGUAAUACGGGUGCCAGCAGCCGCGGUAAUCCCCGAGCCCCGAGUGGUAGCCGCGUUUAUUGGGUCUAAAGCAUUCGUAGCCUGAUUAGUAAGUUCUCGGUGAAAUUGUUCAGCUUAACUGAACGAAUUGCCUUGAAUACUGCUAGUCUAGGGAUCGGGUAAAGUUGGGAGUAUGCCUGGGGGAGGGGUAAAAUCCAUUAAUCCUGGGUAGACUAUCAGUGGCGAAGGCGCCCAACUGGAACGAGUCCGACGGUAAAGGAUGAGAGCUAGGGGAGCAAACGGGAUUAGAUACCCCGGUAGUCCUAGCCGUAAACGCUGCCCGCUGGGUAUUACACAUUCCUCGAGUCUGUGUAGUGCCGUAGUGAAGACGUUAAGCGGGCCACCUGGGGAGUACGGUCGCAAGACUGAAACUUAAAGGAAUUGGCGGGGGAGUACAACAAGAGGUGGGACCUGCUGUUCAAUUGGAUUCAACGCCGGAAAUCUCACCAAGGGUGACAGCAGUAUGAAGGCCAGAUUAAAGGUCUUACCUGACGCGCUGAGCGGAGGUGCAUGGCCGUCGUCAGCUCGUGUCGCGAGAUGUCCUGUCAAGUCAGGUAACGAGCAAGACCCACAUCAUUAUUUGCUUCGUCGGUUUCGAUCGGUACGAGCACUAUAAUGAGACUGCGUGUGUUAAGCACGAGGAAGGGGUGGGCUACGGUAGGUCAGUAUGCCCCUAAUCCCUUGGGCGACAAGCGGGUCACAAUGAAUAAGACAGAGGGCUGCUACACCGAGAGGUGACGCAAAUCCCUUAAACUUAUUCUUAGUACGGAUUGAGGGCUGCAACUCGCCCUCAUGAAGCCGGAAUCUCUAGUAACCGUAAUCCAUUCAUUUACGGUGAAUACGUCCCUGCUCCUUGCACACACCGCCUGUCAAGCCACUCGAAUCAGUAUUAGGUGAGUAUGAGUCUUCAUGUCUCGUCCGAACCUAAGAUUGGUGAGAAGGGUUAAGUCAACACAAGGUACCUGUAGGGGAACCUGCGGGUGGAUCACCUCCU